UCCACAUUGGUGUAAUGGUAACAUAGCCGGUUUUCACCCAAGCAGAGCCCGGGGUUCAAUUCCCCGAUGUGGAA
rnacentral:tRNA from 1 species